rnacentral:rRNA from 1 species
GACGAACGCUGGCGGCGUGCUUAACACAUGCAGGUCGAACGAAGAGCGAUGGAAGCUUGCUUCUAUCAAUCUUAGUGGCGAACGGGUGAGUAACGCGUAAUCAACCUGCCCUUCAGAGGGGGACAACAGUUGGAAACGACUGCUAAUACCGCAUACGAUCUGACCUCGGCAUCGAGGAUGGAUGAAAGGUGGCCUCUAUUUAUAAGCUAUCACUGAAGGAGGGGAUUGCGUCUGAUUAGCUAGUUGGAGGGGUAACGGCCCACCAAGGCGAUGAUCAGUAGCCGGUCUGAGAGGAUGAACGGCCACAUUGGGACUGAGACACGGCCCAGACUCCUACGGGAGGCAGCAGUGGGGAAUCUUCCGCAAUGGACGAAAGUCUGACGGAGCAACGCCGCGUGAGUGAUGACGGCCUUCGGGUUGUAAAGCUCUGUUAAUCGGGACGAAAGGCCUUCUUGCGAAUAGUUAGAAGGA